rnacentral:lncRNA from 1 species
GUGCGCAACGUUCGUUCUUAACAGAAGAUCUUGCUAUGAAACUAAAACUGAAAGUUGACAACACAGAAAGUAUACAACUAUCAUGUUUCGGAGACACUGGCAAUACUAUACAACACCUUGGUAAAGGUACAUUACUGGUCGAGACAGAGACGAAACAGAAAAUACCAAUUGAUGUACUUAUCGUACCGAAAAUAGCCGUUCCGUUCAAAAAUCAUAUCCGCAAAUUAGACUUGACUGAAAACAAGUACAUGUAUUUACAAGGAUUAAAUCUAGAUCAUCCGAUCACAGACGAAAGUAUAUUCGAAAUUGACGUUUUGAUAGGAGCAGAUUACUAUUGGCAGUUUGUUGGAGACAAAAUCAUCCGCGGAGAUGGACCUACUGCUGUUAACUCGAAUCUAGGCUACCUUCUAUCCGGUCCGUUAAAGGAAACAAGUAUCGUGAAAGCUUAUGAUAACACAAUAAAGAACAAAGAGCAUAAAAGUUUCGUUGGAAGAAUUGAUAACGAGGGAUGUAACAGAAAAACAAAACAAUACAUACCACACCACCGAGUUAGAAAAAAGAAGAUGCGUGUGAACAAAGUACCGUAGAAGAUAAUCGACCGUCGAAGACUUCACACAAGAUAAAAAAAAAUUGGCGAGGAUGAAUCUGCCUUCAAAUCGAGAUGAUAAAGAACGGAUGUGAACUGUUAACUACCCCUUUUUAUAUGAACUGUGAAUCGUAAUUAAAAGUGUUAUUAGUGUCAAAUUUAAAUACCACUAUACAGAGACAGUAAUUAUUUUCUAUACUAUAGAGACUUUAAUUUUCAAGCGUAAAUAUUAUUAAUCUGAGAUUGUAUUUUAUAUUGAAUUUUAUCAUUUUGCGGCCCCCAGAAUGUUGUAAAUACGGCGCGAACACAACUCGGGAAUGUCACUUAUGUCUUAUAUUGUAACGUCAAGACUUUGUGACGUGUCACUUGUAUACUUGGGCAUUAUAUAGAUCGAUUACAUUAUUAGAACAUGCAACGUUUUAUUCCUUAAUUUACGUAUUCCCGACAAUGACCACAAAAGGAAGGUUGGGAUUGAUUUUGGGAGUUUUGGUUCUAACAGUUUAGGAAUUACGGGCCAAAAAAGGGCCCAAAUAAGCAUUAUUCA